rnacentral:tRNA from 1 species
CGAGGCGUAGCGUAGCUGGUUAGCGCAUCUGCUUUGGGAGCAGAAGAUCGAGAGUUCGAAUCUCUCCGCUUCGACCA